rnacentral:rRNA from 1 species
AGUGAACGCUGGCGGUAGGCCUAACACAUGCAAGUCGAACGGCAGCACAGUAAGAGCUUGCUCUUACGGGUGGCGAGUGGCGGACGGGUGAGGCAUACAUCGGAAUCUACUUUUUCGUGGGUGAUAACGUAGGGAAACUUACGCUAAUACCGCAUACGACCUACGGGUGAAAGCAGGGGAUCUUCGGACCUUGCGCGAUUGAAUGAGCCGAUGUCGGAUUAGCUAGUUGGCAGGGUAAAGGCCCACCAAGGCGACGAUCCGUAGCUGGUCUGAGAGGAUGAUCAGCCACACUGGAACUGAGACACGGUCCAGACUCCUACGGGAGGCAGCAGUGGGGAAUAUUGGACAAUGGGCGCAAGCCUGAUCCAGCCAUACCGCGUGAGUGAAGAAGGCCUUCGGGUUGUAAAGCCCUUUUGUUGGGAAAGAAAAGCAGCAGGUUAAUACCCCGCUGUUCUGACGGUACCCAAAGAAUAAGCACCGGCUAACUUCGUG